GCACUAACUCACUAAGUUAGCAGCGAAAGACGAGUAGUCGCACGGCGCUGAAAUACAAGAUGAGAAAAUUGCCUGGAAUAGGUGUGGCAUCAUAUACUCCCAUCCCUUGACAUCAGAAUUGUAGCCUUUUUGGAGUCAAACAUCCUUACUCUCUGGUUCCUGAGUUUAUGCAGUGAGUCACCUGCAUGCCAAGGCUGGGCGUUGACUGCACUUCAAAAUCCCAAUCAAUCCAAGCUUCAGUCAAGGAGAACAGCCUUGGACAUGUACAAAGCACAAGACAGUAAAACUCAGGGACUCAAAUGAACCCUACACUAAAAAAGGUAUGUAAAACGCUUACUGUUAAAAGGAAGAUUAUACAGCAUUUUAGUAGAUAGAAUAAGAGCUUUUCUUUUAAUGUGGGCUUUUCUGCACUGUAAAACAUCAGCCAAGCUGUCAGGAAAAUGCUGUAGGUGGAACCCAAAAGCUACAUAAACCAAUUAUGCAUAAUUGGGCUUUAAAAUGAAUUAAUUAAUGUGCCUCGUAACAGCUCUUUACCUGCUUUUUUAUAAACAAUUAGUGAUUUUCACUUGACACAAAAACACACAAAUAAAAGGCAAGAAGCAUUGUUAGAUUGACAAAAAUACUUAGAACAACUUUAUUGUUUUAUCAAAAUACUGUAACAGUCUUACAAAUAUUGACUCUCUUAAGACAUUUUUUUUCUAUUUGGGAAUACUGGUGACAGACAUGAAAACAGAGCUGAAGGGCUGAGUUAAGUGAGAGCAGAUACACAAGUGACUCUCCCCACCCCUCCCCCCAAAACACUUAAACUAUAAGCGCAUUUAUAUUUUUCAGUUAGGAAUAAUUCAUUUAAAUGCAUCUCCCUUUCGUGUCACCUCCAGCCCAAUGGGACUGUCUACUUUCAAUUCAUUCAGAAUUUCCCUUUUUUUUUUUUUUUUUUUUUUUUUUUUUA